GUAUCCUGGCUCAGGACGAACGCUGGCGGCGUGCCUAACACAUGUAAGUCGAGCGGAGACAGUGAGUAGCUUGCUAUGAGCUGUUUAGCGGCGGACGGGUGAGUAACGCGUGAGCAACCUUUCCCAGACAGGGGAAUAACACACCGAAAGGUGUACUAAUACCGCAUAAGACCACGGGAUCACAUUGUUCUGGGUAAAAGAUUAUCGUUGGGUGGCUCGCGUCCGAUUAGGUAGUUGGUGAGGUAACGGCC
rnacentral:rRNA from 1 species